rfam:Schizopora paradoxa strain KTC8140 unplaced genomic scaffold SCHPAscaffold_00019, whole genome shotgun sequence.
AGCAAAAUGGCGCAGUGGAAGCGCGCGAGGCUCAUAACCUCGAGGUCCCUCGAUCGAGACGAGGUUUUGCUA